CCCAGAGGCGGGAAGGCCCGGGGCUGCGAGCCGGUUGCGGGCGGGGCUGGCCUGGUCGCGGGAAGAGCUUGCCGCCUGCGUGGUUUGGGGACCGAUGCCCAUCCGGCCCGCGCGGCCUCGUCGUGCAGCCCGGGCGGAGAAGGCCUGCGCCUGCCUUCCUUCCUUCCUGACAGGUUAGGAGCGGAUUUGGGGGCGCAGGGAGCCAGGCGUGCUGGAAAGAACCUAGAAGAAACCGGAGGAACCUUCUAGAAUGUGUGUCUGAAUGAGCUCUGGGAACACGGACCAUACGGACCUCCUGGAAAAGUUGAAGAUGUGAGCCUUGGGUUAUGAAGCAUUAAAACACGGAGGUGACAGGGGAAAGGAAGUAGUGAGUGUCAGGCCAGGAUGGGGAAGUUGGAUCAUUUCUAGGGCUUCCGGAUUCUGGGCUUCACAGGCCUGCAGCCCCUUAAAAUGUUUGAAGUUCCCGCGAUAUCAAAUGCACCCAAAACGAAGGAACUGCAACACCUGCCAAAGACAAGAUAUCAGUCCUGUGUCUUCUCUGUCGUUUGGGGUUGUCUGUUUUACUCUUUCUCUCCAUCCGCAUGUCAAGUUGCCUUUUUUGUUUGUUUGUUUUUUAAUGUUUAGAUGUUUUUGAGAGUGUGUGUGUGUGUGUGUGUGUGACACAGCAAGGGAGGGGUGGAGGGGGGGACAGCCCCAAGCAGGCGCCACGUUGCCAGCGGUGGAGCCCAACAUGGGGCUUGAACCCGUGAACUGUGAGCUCAUGACCUGAGCCAAAAGCGAGAAUCUGAUGCUUAACCAGCUGGGCCACCCACGCACCCUGUCAGGUUGCUUUCUCUGAGAGGGUUUCUUCCGCCUAAACUGACACAUGGACGACACUGACCUGAUUCCACGCUUGCAUCCUUGGAGGCACUCUGGCCUGUGCCCUGGACAGGUCUGGAGGGAGCCUGACGUGGAGCAGAAAGAACCCAGCAGAGAAUAGAAUACUUCCUCCCACUCCAGAAAGGAGCAGUUCUCCAAGCCAGUGUCUUCCGUGUUGCAGAAAAUCAGGUUAGACGAUGGUCAAUGAAGCUGACUAGCCAACGAUGUCCAUGAAUAAACAGAGCCUCACGCUCCCGCCAUUUUAUACUUCGUUACUUCAGAUGUCCCAAGGCCUGCGGUCUUACCCUUGGUGAAGCUGGUUUAGAGGAAGAGAGAGCCAAAGGGAAAGAAAGGGAACCGUGUCAUAGGUUUGGCUCAGCGCUCUCUGUUUUACCAAAUCCUUAACUGCUGUGGGCCGAAAAACCGAGACGGAGAGAAUUUAUACGUGACCUAAGUUAGAACAUAAGUCAAGUCAGUAUAUAUCAAGGACACAAUGUGACCUCGGAUCUCUCUGAACACAAAGAAGGCUUUUACCAAGAGUAUCUUCAGCAUGUUGAGAUUGCGGGCUGCUGUCAGGAUGUCUGACUUUUUCUCUGCACCUCCGUCCCUUCUCAGAUGUCCUUCUGAUGAGCUUCCCAUGAAACUGGAAUGUUCUACUUCAUCUCAAGAACUAAGAGUGAGGAAGGUUCACAGACAAGAUUGCGUUAAAUUCUUCUUGUCCCUUUUUCCCAGUAUUACACGUGAACGGGUCCAGUGCGGAAGGAGGAAAGCCCAGCCAGGCCGCGGGAUUUAAGGAUUUUCAGCCUGUGGAUUCAGGAAGUAGAAGUCUUAAUUUUUAGAGCCUCUCUGUCAGGCACUUUACAGCUUCCUCUUCUAAGUGCUAAGUGCCAUAAAUCUCUGGACGGCCGGUCUCCAAACUCACAUGUAAACGGUCCUGCACACGAGCAGCAAUGGCCACCGACACAAGUGAGUGACCCAUAAAUAAGGCUCACGUGUGGUCCUCGGCUGUCCCAGUCCACUGUCCAUCCACAGGUGCGGCCCUGGGCGUCUGGGGCAGAUGGCCGCACCUGCACACUUUCUGGGCACGGCGGCUGGCAGAAAGGGAGGCCCGAUGCGACAGCACUGCUGCGGGCCUGCCUUUGUCCGGGUGCUUCUACGGUGCGGGCGGCCUUGACGACGUGUCAUCCGAGAGUGGCCGUCUGAGGCUGGGGUCCCUGGGCAGCAGCCUCGGGGGGAAUUAAGGGUUGGCUCUGUGCGGGCCCUUGCCCACUGAUGGUGAUUUAACCACGUGAAGUGGCCCUCCCGAGGCUGUCUCUGUUGGCUCCGGGAGCGUGCGAGAGCCACUGUCUUAGGACCUGCUGCAGACUUGUCUAGGACUCCUGCAUGAGGACAAGGUAAGCGGAGGAGGACCUCAAAAGAGAAGGUCGCAUUGUACGGGGCAGGGGCCUGCACGUUUUUUUCUGCGAAAGGCUGGAUAGUAAAUAUCCAGUUUCAACUACUCAGCUCCUCCGCGGCACGGAAGCCGCCACACGCUGUGCCCGAGUGAGGGGGCCCAGCUGCAGUUUGGUAAAACUUCAUUUACCAAAAGAGAGGGUAUGUGGGAUUUGGCGCCCAGGCCUACUUUGCUGACCCCCAGGAUAGGAGGAGGAGCAGAAAGGCAGCCGGUAAGAUCCAGACCUAAUCCCUGUUCUGCCGCGUGCCAGAUCUGAGACCUUAGAUGUUACUUUUCUCUGAGCCUGUUUCCUCAUUAGUAAAAGGGAGUUCACAGUAUCUGCCCGUUAGACUUCUAAUGACGCACGCAGAGCUCCUAGCGUACUACCUGGCACAGAGUGGGCAGGCGGUAAAUAUAGGGCUUUCCAUCCAAGCACCCGCAGUUCUGGGGGGAGUCCGGCUGUAGGUGCCUCAGUGCUCUGUUGCCUUCAUAGUCUUUGAUGGUCCUCUUUUGCCUCAUUUGUUGGACCUGGCUCAGAGCGAAUGAAGUCUCUUUCACCCCAUUUGUAUUUUAAAAGUAGGUCUUUCCAAAUUCACUGACAUGUUAUUUCAAACGGCCUGGCAGCAUUCAGGGCUUUGUGGAGUCCCCUGGCAAUUUUACUGCACCAGAACAUUGCCUACCCCAAAAUUUUUAAAUUAUGGUGGAAUGCAAAACAGAUGUACCAAAUCUAGGGAGGACUAGAGCAACAUUAAUUUGUUCCUUGGGAAUGCCCUUCAUAAGCACGUUUUGGGGCAGACAUUUGUGAUAAAAGCCAGGCAAUAAAAGAUCCCAGCGUGUUCUAAACACUGCAAUUUUUGCAAUUUGUGUCAAAGAAAAUUUGGAAGGCACAGAUAACUGAAACAGAGCUGACUAAAUUUAUGGCUCAACCUUUCACUGAAAUAUCUGUGUUUGGAAGAUGUCACUGAUCAGAGAAAUGAGAAUGUGGGUGGAAAAAAAUUAGUAUUCAGACGGGUGGAGCUCUGAACUAUGACACUGAUCGAUACUUAGUUAUUUAGAAUAUGAACUGGGGCCAGGUUUCUGCUUGGGUCUCUUCAAGGUGGCUGGCUUCACGUUGCAUUGCAAAUACCAAUGUGAAAACAGAGUACUAAACUUAAAGUAGUGUUUUCAGAAAAACUGUUUAAAAAAAUUUUUUUAAAGUUUAUUCUUAAAUAGGUAUAGAGACAGAGCAUGAGCAGGGGAAGGGGAGAGAGAGGAGGAGACACAGAAUCCAAAGCAGGCCCCAGGCUCUGAGCUGUUAGCACAGAGCCCCACGCGGGGCUUGAACUCACAGACCAUGAGAUCAUGACCUGAGCCAAAGUCGGAUGCUUAACCAACUGAGCCACCCAGGCGCCCCCAGAAAAGCUGACUUUUAUAUACAAGGUUGUGAUUUUAAGUACACUGAGCUUCAAAGUAGGAAAAAAAUACACGGAUAGAGAAAAAGUGCAGUAGAGUAAUACUUAGUGUGAAGGCCACUAAGAUAUUGGCCUGGGGCGCCCAGGUGGCUCAGUUGGUUAAGCAUCUGACUCUUGGUUUCAGCUCAGGUCAUGAUCUCAUGGUUUGAGUUUGAGCCCCAUGUUGGGCUCUGUGCUGACAGCAAGGGGCCUGCCUGGGAUUCUCUCUCUCCCUCUGUCUCAUCUGCCCCUCCCCUGUUCAAGGUCCCUCCCUCCCUCCCUCCCUUUCUCUGUCUCUCUUUCUCUGUCUGUCUCUGUCUCUCUCUCUCUCUCUCUCUCACUCUCAAAAUAAAUGAAUAAACUUAAAAAAAGAUACUGGUCUGAGAACUAGGCUGAGCCCACAUUGUCAGCUAUAAUACAUUACAUCCUUGUGGGUCAUAUGAUCCAGAAAAGAACUAUUUGUGGCACAAGGAGAAAAUUACUUCUUUCGGCAAAUCUGAAAUUUCAUAUCCCCCAAGAUGUACUUGUUAUACUUUUCCUUGUAAGAAAUGAAUCUGAUCGAAAUCUCUCUUGACCCUAUAGAGUUAUAAUCUUCUGGGUAAAACUGACCUACUUUUUAUCUAAUUCUAUGCUACCACUUCUAUAGAAAACGAACUGUGCCAGACAAGAAACGCGUCCUGUGUUAGCGCAGUUGUACAUCAAGACGUGCUUUCAAAUCAGGACAAAUGUUUGGCUUAUGAAAAAGACGAAUGGCUCACCAAGCCAGAAUGUAAACAUUUCCUGUAGCUUUGUUACUUACUAAUAACUUGACGUUUUCUUGCUAGGUUUUUAUUUUAUAAACCAGAGAAGGAAACAGAUUCCAAUGGUACUAAAUAACAAUGCCAUGAAAGUUGUAAUACCAUGAUGUCGAUGAUGCACCGGAAGGUUAUGUCUAACUUUUUUUGGUAAAAAAUAAUAAAGAAUGCAUUUACUAUAUUUUGUUUUGUCCAAAUGCAGUGGUUUGUGUGGUUGAGCUCAUGCCAUGUGUAAAAUUACGUAGUGUUUUCAAGAUUUGUAUUUUGAAGUAAUCUGCAAUUAACAGCAAGUUUUAAAGAUAGUGCAGAGAGGUCCUGUGUACCCGCACCCAGUUUCCCCCAACGGCUGUAUCAUAUUUAAAUAUGGUACAAUAGCAAAACCAGGAAACUGAUGUUUGUAAGAUGUGGGUGUGGGCAUCUAACCCAUUUUAUCCCGUGUGUGUUUUCAUGUAACUGCCACUGCAAUCCAGAUACAGAACGGUUCCCUUACCCAGAGCACUCUCUCCUGCCGUUCCUUUAGAGCCACACUUAUGUCCCCACCCGCCACCACUCCUUAUCUCUGGCAACCAGUAAUUUGUUCUCUGUCUCGGUACUUUCAUUGUUUCAAAGCUAAAUGGAACCAUAUUUGUAAAUGGAAUCUCAUGUCAUGUAAAUUUUUUAUAUUUUUUAUAAAUCAAUAUAAUGUUCCUGCAUAUAGUUGGGCCUUGUUGUUUCUUUGGAAGUGCUAGGCCCAUUGAUUCAGCACUUCUGAGAAGGAAAGCCUGAGGCACAGUACAUUUCUAAUUGGUCUUUUGUUUCAAAAUCCUUGGACUGGGAUGGGGGAGGCAGCAUCUCUAAACACAGUACAAUAUCGUGAGGUAGCCCACUCCCCCUUUUUGUUCAGAUACAAAGGAAAGGUUACCAACCUGAAGUUACAUAAGGGAAAAAAUAGCCUCUGAAGAUAGCAGUGAGAAUCUGAGGGUAAUGGCCCAUUGUUUUCAUAAUUCUCUCAAUUCUUGCAAAGAGGAAGGAACUCUUUCAAUUAUUAAGCUUCUUAUUAAAUUGAAUGACCAGAAAACAAGUUAAUGCUAAUUGCGUCUUCUGGUUAGACCUGAAGUCUUGGCCAUUGUUAACACCCCUCGAUCAUUCAGAAUCAUAUCCAUAUAAGCAAAUUAAUAUAAAUCCUAUUCAUGUACAUUUCCUCCCUCCAUCUUUCUUUUCUUUCUCCCUUUCCCAUCAUCCAUCUUCCUUAAUUUUUCUCUCCCUUCCCUCCUUCUGUCGUUUUCUUCUUCCCUCUCUCCCUCCAUCCUUCUUUCCUCCUUGUUUUCUCUCCAUUGUAUUUUUGUCCAAUUUGCCUUUUUCCCCCCAGAAUUGCCCUUAGUUCCACAGUCACUAACAUUUCUUAGUCCCAAGGGUAGGGAGAGUCACCUAGCCCAGUGCUUCUCAAACAUCAGCGUGCCCACAAAUGACCUGUGUGUCUUGUGGAAAUGUGGAUCUUAUCUCAGGAGCUCUGGGGCAAGCCUGGGAAUCUGCAUUCUUGACAGGCUCCUAGUGUGUGGACCACACAGAGAGCAAAGACGGAUGAUGAGACCUUCCCCCACGCCAGCACCCUUGUGAUGUUCAAACACUAUUCCUUUCCCUUCGGUGUGGAGAAGGCACCAAGGAGGUGGCUGGGCAAGAGUGGUGAGGUUUUGCGUUGCGGUGGGGUUUGGAGCUGACGGCCAAGAAAGAAUUCUCGAAGACAUCUUUGGUGCAGGCAUAUUGUAUUAAAGCACGGGGACGGGACCCGUGGGCAGAAAGCGUUGCACUGGGGUUGUGAGGAGUGACUGGUGAUAUACUGUGGGGUUGGGGGAGGGAAAGGCACAAGGGAGGCCUCCAGAAGGACUUUCAUGUGCUAAUGAGGACUCCUGAGAUACCUGAGGCCCAGGGAUUGGCAAACUGGGGUUGUUUUUCCCUCUCACAAAGCGUUGUCCUUAAGACAGUAGGGAGUUUCUGGAGAUGAGGCUAUUGAUAAGAUUACCCUUUUCUUAUAAUUUGUUAAGGUAUUUGUAAACUGAUGGAGAGUCUUAUCAGUUUGACCAUUUGUUUUCUGUCCUUCCCUUUGUCCUUGGACUGCCAGGAGCGCCUGAGGACUAUCACACUGGUCCCACCUGGGGGUGAGGGAUGUGCCAGCUUGUACUUUGCCCUCAGCCUGCCUUAUGGCCCCUCAUCAAGGAAUCCAGCAGGCGACUGGCCGAGGGGAUGAAAGGAACAGCCAGGAGACGAGGCCUUCACGGAACUCUGGGUGGGGACCCCGGAGCGGUCUCUGGGCUCCCACGCUGCCAGCAGGUUGGUGGUCUCCACGUGUGCACUUCCCCAUUGUUAACUCUUUUAACCAUUCCCGGAUCCCUCCGUGGGACCCACAGACGUCCAGUCAAACCAUCUUUGAGGAGUUAAAGAGACAUCUUGUCCAUCAGGAUCAAGAGUUUCUCCAUUUGAAUGCAGACCGCCCUCCACGAUUCAUGCUGAGGUCACUUAGAGAAAAAGAAGAAAGACUGAAAAAUCCAGCUGACUGUUGCCAAGGGAGGUAUCAGUGAGCCACCCGGUGUGACCACCACAACUUUGGCAUGAGUUUCUAUUGACUCAGCACUUGGUUUUCUUCGUGCUGCUUGGAUUAUGCUGUCAAAGGCCAGCCCCCCUGUGGCCCAUCCAAACUGGUGGCAGCAGGCACAGCCUUUGACAUUUCAAGUCCACGUGACAGAGCAAUACUUAAACUCCAGAAAUAGAAAGUUGUCUGGACGACACCCCUUUCCCGUCGAUACAGUGAUAGCGUCUUACGUUUCUUUACUGUAAGACUUCAUAUUCGCCUUUCUUCAUAUUAACAACACAACCGUGUUGUGGUUGAUGCAGUUUGCAAAUGAUUAUAAAAUA